AGUGAACGCUGGCGGUAGGCCUAACACAUGCAAGUCGAACGGCAGCACAGUAAGAGCUUGCUCUUACGGGUGGCGAGUGGCGGACGGGUGAGGAAUACAUCGGAAUCUACUUUUUCGUGGGGGAUAACGUAGGGAAACUUACGCUAAUACCGCAUACGACCUACAGGUGAAAGUAGGGGAUCUUCGGACCUUGCGCGAUUGAAUGAGCCGAUGUCGGAUUAGCUAGUUGGCGGGGUAAAGGCCCACCAAGGCGACGAUCCGUAGCUGGUCUGAGAGGAUGAUCAGCCACACUGGAACUGAGACACGGUCCAGACUCCUACGGGAGGCAGCAGUGGGGAAUAUUGGACAAUGGGCGCAAGCCUGAUCCAGCCAUACCGCGUGGGUGAAGAAGGCCUUCGGGUUGUAAAGCCCUUUUGUUGGGAAAGAAAAGCAGCAGGUUAAUACCCCGCUGUUCUGACGGUACCCAAAGAAUAAGCACCGGCUAACUUCGUG
rnacentral:rRNA from 1 species